UUACGUAAAAGCACUCAGUGUUUGCUCAUCAGGUUGUUUCUCUUUAAACAGGGUCGAUGGCUGCAUCUCUUUCAGCUGGUGGAAAAGCAAUACCAAGAACAAAUCCUAGCCCAGCAGGAACAGUAUCAGUGCCAAAUACAGCUCAUCCAGGAUGAGAUUAAAGCGUUAGUGCAGCUACAGAACCGGCAGAGCGGCACACAGACACACCCCUCAGACCCGCCCCCGCGUACAGCCAAGGUUUCAGAGCCUCCGGUGGACCUAUCGAUCGAGAGCCAGACCUCUGCCCCAGCUUCAGGACACGUGUCCCCCCAGCAGCUCACAGUAAACCCCCAGGACAGUUCGGACGAAGGGCUCGUGACCGUCCUGAGCAGCGGCUAUGGCACGCUCUCUGCCUGGGAGGCCGGACUGGAGACCGGGCCGCCUGGUGCCACAGAGCUGUGGUCCCCGAAGCAGCCAGACUACAGCCUCCCACAUUCCCCUUUAGUAGAAAUGGCUCUGCACAGGCAGGACAGUGUACUGAGCAGGAUUGUACCUCCCCAUAAUGCACCUCACAAAACUGCCUCAACUGUGCCAAGUCAGACUUCUGACAGACAGAAACUAAACAGUCAACCACUGACCUCCUGGGCUCAGAAGCAAAAACACAGGCAAAAGAAAAACAAACCGGCACAAAACAGAUCACCGCAGACGGAGACGAGAGAGGAGAGAAGGCCAGGUGCUUCUCCCGAGGAACAGAAGGACAAUGUGGAUGAUCCUGGAUGCACUGCAGCCUACUUGAAUCCUGCUCCUCUAAAGAGAAGUGACAGCCUGGUGUCUGAAGCCUCAGGUAAUCAUUGUUCACAACGAGCAAAGGUCUGUUGAGGUCUGCUUUAUAUUCAUUUAUUUAUUUAUUUAUCCCAGUGAAAGGUUUGGACACACCUCCUCAUUUAAUGUUUUUAUUUAAAAAUGAUUUUCCUACAUAGUAAAUGAGUAGUUAAGUGAUCCAAACAAACAUACCAAAAUACUCUUUGAGGAAUUUAUGUGCUCUUGUAUGAGGGUGGUAACUUAUCUUGACUUAAACGAAAACUUAAUGUUGAUGUUUUUCCUUGAUUUUACCAAAUUAAAAACCUCUGGAAUAUAAUCAAGAGGAAGAUGGAUGAUCACAAACCAUCAAACCAC
rnacentral:lncRNA from 1 species